UACUGCUAUCAGGUUCCGACUAAGCCAUGCGAGUCAAGGGGUCGCAAGACACCGGCGCACUGCUCAGUAAUACUCGGAUAAUCUACCCCCAGGUGGGGGAUAACCUCGGGAAACUGAGGCUAAUACCCCAUAGUUGCCAUAUGCUGGAAUGCUUUGGCGAUGAAAGAAUUUCGCCUGAGGAUGAGUCUGUGGUCUAUCAGGUAGUAUGUGGUGUAAUGGACCACAUAGCCUAAGACGGAUACGGGCCUUGAAAGAGGGAGCCCGGAGAUGGACUCUGAGACACUAGUCCAGGCCCUACGGGGCGCAGCAGGCGCGAAAACUGUACAAUGCGCGAAAGCGCGAUACGGGGAGCCUGAGUGCCUUAACAUUUGUUAAGGCUUUUCACAAGCCUAAAAAGCUUGUGGAAUAAGAACUGGGUAAGACGGGUGCCAGCCGCCGCGGUAAACCCGCGGUUCAGUGGUAGUCACUUUUAUUGAGCCUAAAGCGUUCGUAGCCGGAUUCGUAAUCUCUAGGAAAUCCUUCUGCCCACAGAAGAAUUCUGGAGAACUGCGAUCUAGGGACCGGGUGAGGUGAAUGUCUUCUGGGGUAGGGUAAAUCCUGUAUCCUGGAAGACGACCGUGGCGAAGCGUUCACUAGAAGGAUCGACGUGA
rnacentral:rRNA from 1 species